rnacentral:sRNA from 2 species
GAGGUUCGACUCGAGCGAAGCGAGAGAACGUUGCGUCAGCAACGGCCCGCAGGGCGAGCCACGCAGUGGCGAGUCAUCCUCUAUCACCGACCA